rnacentral:tRNA from 1 species
GGUGGCGUAGCUCAGUCCGGUAGAGCAGGCGGCUCAUACCCGCUAGGUCGACGGUUCAAAUCCGCCCGCCACCA